rnacentral:rRNA from 1 species
CCUGUCCUACGGGAGGCAGCAGUGAGGAAUAUUGGUCAAUGGGCGGAAGCCUGAACCAGCCAAGUCGCGUGAGGGAAUAAGGCCCUGCGGGUCGUAAACCUCUUUUGCCGGGGAGCAAGGGCCGGGACGAGUCCCGGUCCGGAGAGUACCCGGAGAAAAAGCAUCGGCUAACUCCGUGCCAGCAGCCGCGGUAAUACGGAGGAUGCGAGCGUUAUCCGGAUUUAUUGGGUUUAAAGGGUGCGUAGGCGGGCUUUUAAGUCAGCGGUAAAAAUUCGGGGCUCAACCCCGUCCGGCCGUUGAAACUG